rnacentral:lncRNA from 1 species
UGUUACAAAUUUUAGGGGAUACCGAUCUUCUUAAAGAUUAUGAUAAAUUAAGUUUAGUUAGUGAAACUGACAGUGGAGUUGUAUGUAAUAGUAGACCUAGUAGCUACAUUGGAAGUGGAAAUAUUUUACCCUCAGUGCAGGGAAGUUCUUAUAUUGUGAGGUGUCCUGUAUGUAAAAAACCUGUAUUUUUAGAUGAAAGUGGAUAUAAAUCUCUACCUAAAAAUACUAUUCUUGAGGCUAUUGUGGAAAAAUAUUGCAAUGAAUGUAAACAAUUACAAAAUCAUACAAGUAAAUGUCAAAUGUGUGAACAAACUGAUAAUUCUGAAGCUAAAGAUGCAUGUAGUAUGUGUGAACAAUGUGAAAUAUUUUAUUGUGAUACAUGUAAAGAUGUUUGCCACCCUUCGAGGGGACCUUUGGCAAAACAUAAUAUGGUGGGACCAAUUCAAGGGAGAGCUAUAUUACGGGCCAAAAAUAAAGCAAGUGAGGCAAAAUGUAUAGAACAUGAAGAAGAGCAUUUAAGCAUGUAUUGUUUAUUUUGUAAACUGCCUGUUUGUUAUGUCUGUCGACAAGAGGGACGUCAUGUUGAUCAUGAUGUCCAGGCCCUUGGGGUUAUGUCAAAAACUCAC